AAGAGGGGAAAUGAAAAUAAAACAGGCCUGUCCUCUCAGGGCUCAGACACUGCCGACAACAACAAAAUAGUCACCUGGGAUAUUGUCAUCGAACAGCCCAAGCCCAGGCCUUAUUCCAAUGCAAAUUCAAUGCGCCCAGACUCCUACAUGCCCUGCCACAUCGAUGGACAUAGGCUAUUUAAACAUUGCUGUCUCGACUCGUACCCUCACCGUUUGCCUGUCAAAAUCUCCGACUAGGAAACAUGAAGCGCCAGGCCCUCUACCUUACGAGAAAAAACUAAAACCUGAGCCCUAGGACCAUACGUCAGGACUACCGGGCAUGA